rnacentral:rRNA from 1 species
AUACGUAGGGCGCAAGCGUUGUUCGGAAUUACUGGGCGUAAAGCGCGCGCAGGCGGGCUGAUAAGUGGGAUGUGAAAGCCUACGGCUCAACCGUAGAACUGCAUCCAAAACUGUCAGUCUAGAGUGUGGGAGAGGAAGAUGGAAUUAGUUGUGUAGGGGUAAAAUCCGUAGAGAUAACUAGGAAUACCAAAAGCGAAGGCAAUCUUCUGGAACACUACUGACGCUGAGGCGCGAAGGCGUGGGGAGCAAACAGGAUUAGAAACCCCGGUAGUCC